CUCAACUUCUCAUGCUGGUCCUGUAAUCAGAAAUGCCCUUUCUAGACUCUUAUAUCUUUACCACUAAAUCCUCAUGACAAUCUUGUGAGGAGGUGCUAUUAUUCCCAUUUUGCCAAUGAUUAAAAAAAAUUAGGUAACUUAUUUAGGGUCAUACAGAGUGGCAGACUGGGAUGCUAAUGCAGGUAUCUCUUACUUCAAAGCUCAUGUCCUUUCAUUCCCAUGUUUGGCAUUUUAGAGAUAGAUAGUGCCCAACCCAAGACUUGAAGGACUUAUUUCCCUCAAUGUGUUAUAAGCACCCUGUGGGCAGGUCUGAUUAUUUAUUGACCACUAGAGUCAGUGGCGUGCUUGUAAAGGGUUAACAACUGACUCUCCAAGGGGCAUGGGGGAGGCCCUGAUUUACAGAGGUUUUCUGAGUCCUGUGGAGUAAAUACUCCCAUCUGUCUGAUUCCGAGCUACUAGCAUGACGUAUGUCACUGAACAAGGGGUAGGGAACAGGUGCGCAGUAGCACACGUUAGAGGGUAUUUCCACUACACAGACAUCAUUCAUCUGAGCAGCCUCAAGGGCACAGUUAAUAGUAAAAUGGGAAAUAAUUAAGAAAUGAUGAGUUUGUAUCUUUAUUAACUUCAUUUUAAAUCUGAUUUAUUCAACAGUUAUUUUAUGUAAUUUAAUCUUUAAUAAUCAUUACAUUUAACAAUCAGUUUGCAAAUUUCCUAAAAAUUUAACAAUUAGACUCAUAAACUGGUUUGAACUAGCUCCAGCUCACCACUGCUAGAGUCUAUUAUAAUACUUUGCUUUUAGUAGACACGGAAUGGUGGUAAGGAUGCUAAUAAAAAGAACAUGAUUCUCCACUUAUGAGCUUUGAAUGCAACUGGUAACCCAGAUUUCAAUAUUCUUUCCUACAUCUGAGACUUUCUUAGUUCUAUCUCUCACACUUAACAGAAGGCCAAACAAAAAAUAGUUGAGGGUGGAUACCAAAGAAUAGCCAAAGCUCCAACUAAGGACUGUGAAUACUGAACUCUGCCCAGGGUCAGGGUGGGGCCCGAUGCCUGCUUGCAGUUGAAAACAGUCCUCUACAAUUGGGCUUGAGCAAGCCUCUGAGCUAUAACUGUCUUUCCUCCUCGCCUCUUCCUGACCACACCCACAACAAGAGAAGCACUGAAGAAAAAGCACCAGUCAUAAUAUUCUAUUACAUUCCAGAAAGGACAACCUCCCAGGAAGUGGGGAGCCUAGAAAGAAGUAAAACCUAAAUUGCAUCCUCCCAAAGGAGGCGAAGUCCUGAACUUCAGCUAUCUUAACCUUUUGUUAUGGGUGCAGUGCUGAUCUUAAUGGAAACUGGAGUGGGCAGGCACAGCUUAGGGAGAGAGGGACAGCUGGUGAAUCAGCUGUGUUGCAUUACAGUCAGCACUAUCCCUGUCAUGGUUCAGGGAUUAUACCAUAUAUGGACUCAGGCUCAGGACAGGCGAGCCCACUGAUUUGCUUCAGGACUCCCCUAGAAUUGCAUCUUGGGAUUAGGUCAUCAUUACUAGAAAAGGGAGACCCCAGAGAGGUUGUCAGUAUGAAGAAAUCAGGACCAACUGUGGUCUGGACCAGCUUGAAGUGUUUCAGGACACUUCUCUCUGUGUGUGCCUCUUGAUUUUGUUCAGAAGCCCAGUACUAUGGAAUACUCUAUCGCAGUGAUAAUUAACUACUCGAUAUGCAAAACACAGACAAAUCUCACAAACAUAAUGUGGAGCAAAAGAAGCCAGAAACAGAAGAGUACUGUGAAAUCCCAUUUAUGUCAAGCUCAAAACCAGGUACUGGACCUCCAUAGGUGUCCCAGAGGCUCCCAUGGAAGGAUUUGCAAAUCAGGUUCCAAGAGCUUAAAAAGCCAGGCUUAGUAGUGGAGAGGCACCAGAUGAACUCUUGAUAGCCCAGGCAAGAACUGGGCACCAGCAGCAUUACUUGAUGGUGUCAAAGAGGUAGAGGACCAAAUGCCAGGAUGCAGAGGGAGCCAUGGUGCCUGGACACAGAGACUUUGCCACAGCUAUCAAGUUUGCAAAAUGAAAACAAAGGGAGAGAUUAAUGAGACUCCACCUAGAAGCAGCCACUCCUGGACAGGCUGCCCUUCCUAGAUGGCUUCAGAUGGCUGCCAGGGAACAUCUGCCUGGUUAAGAUUUCAAGUGAAGACCUAAUCGAAGCAGCCCUUUGGCAGGCUUUGCACUGGCCGGCCUGACUCUGACAUACGCUCCGAUGCCCACACAUGGUUGUGGCUGGCAGCUCAGACAGACACGACUGUUUUGGCUUCUGUCAUUUCUUUUUCUUCCUCCAGGCGCUCAAGUUCUUGAUCCCAGCUCGCCUGAUUAGGGGUCGUCAUCAGUCCGCGCACCCUGCCUGUACUUCCUGGGGCCCCCUGGUGGAUGAUCAAAGGAUAAAGGGAUAGUUGGAGGCAGGAAAGAGAGAGUUGGGGAUGAUAGUGCAGUGGACUGUGUGGAUCUUUCCCCAUAGGCUUCUAAGAAGUCUUUUGUGAAUAUCUCUCUCGUCCCCCACUGGGUGAAUGAUUUACUAUGACUAAAGGGGCCACACACACAACAGCUCUCACCCUGGAAUGGACUUUGAGAGGGAAGCAAAAGGAAGCAUUGCCUUCUUUCCUGGACUUCCCUUUGGAGCACCCCACAACUCUCAGGGGAUUUAGAAGGUAACACAUUUAGAGCUUUCCCAAAAGAAUGUGCAGCUGUGGCUUGAGCAAAAGGUGUUUACUCCCACGGAGGUGGGAUUUUUAUUGCUAGUUUCAACAUCAAGUAGGUGUGAAAGUUAUAUACAAAUCCUGACAAUCAAUACCACCUGAGAAAGGCGAGAAAGAGGGCUGCAUGGGCCAAUGCUUCACAAACUUAAGGUGCACAGCUUGGAAGCAUUGAAUUGUGGGGGGUGGGGAUCUUGUAAAGUGAAGAUUCUGAAUGAGUAGGUGUGGGGUAUGGCCCACAGUCUGUGUUUCCAACAUGCUUCUGCCACAGGAAGACUGCUCUGGACUAAGAAAUAGUCCUGUGCAUUUCUUAGCACCAACGCUCACCUCCCCCCACCAAAAACAUGAAAUAAAACAAAACAGGGACAUUGCAUUUCCUGGAAGUGUCUUACAUGACACCAAUUAAAACUAUCUUUUUUUCUUGCUCAUAAAUAUAUUCUUUUUCCUUUUUUUUGAGACGGAGUCUCUCUUUUUUGCCCAGGCUGGAGUGCAGUGGUGUGAUCUCAGCUCACUGCAACCUCCGCCUUCCAGGUUCAAGCAAUUCUCCUGCCUCAGCCUCCUGAGUAGCUGGGAUUACAGGAGUGUGCCACCACACUCGGCUAAUUUUUUGUAUUUUUAGUAGAGAUGGGGUUUCACUAUGUUGGCCAGACUGGUCUUGAACUCUUGACCUCAAGUGAUCCACCUGCCUCGGCCUCCCAAAGUGCUAAGAUUAUAGGCGUGAGCCACUGUGUCUAGCCUAGAAAUGUAUUCUUUUUUUUUUUUUUGAGAUGGAGUUUCGCUCUGUCGCCCUGGCUGGAGUGCAGUGGUGCCAUCUCGGCUCACUGCAACCUCUGCCUCCUGGGUUCAAGUGAUUCUCCUGCCUCAGCCUCCCGAGUAGCUGGGACUACAGGCGUGCACCACUACACCCAGCUAAUUUUUGUAUUUUUAGUAGAGAUGGGGUUUCUCCCAGCUAAUUUUUGUAUUUUUAGUAAAGAUGGAGUUUCACCAUGUUGGUUGGCCAGGAUGGUCUCGAUCUCUUGACCUCGUGAUCCACCCGCCUCAGCCUCCCAAAGUGCUGGGAUUACAGACAUGAGCCACCGCGCCCAGCCAAAACUUAUUCUAAAAGGUUUGACUGAUGUACAUAAAAAUCACUGGAAAACAUAGUUAUAGGUAAAUUUUAUUAUUUCUUUGUGUUUUUCUACAUUUCCCAAACUUUCUACAAAUGAACCUAUAUUGUUUUUAUUUUUCUCGAAGGCUAAGUUUGAAACAUCUUGUGUUGUUUCAAGACCUUUCUUUUCCCCCGGUGCUAGCUAGACCAGAAUGGAUUGUUUAACAUCUCAGGGCAGAUGUCUGAACCUUUGCAGGUGUUGGGAGACUCAGAAUCUUCUGGUGUUGAGGAGACCAAGCUUGGUCAGGUCGGGACCAUGUUGAAUCACUGUUUAACACUGAAGGAAGGCCAGGGAAGGCCUGUGAGGGACACGCAGUCUCUGCCUCCUGAGGUCAUGCUGAUCGCUUGCUGGCCCAAGUCUAAUUUAUUUUAGUUUCUAUGUCUGUGAACAAGGCCAAUGUGCAUGAAUGAUGGUCUGGCAUCUCGAUCCAUGUUUACAAAUCAAUGAGCAGACCACCUAAAUCAGUGAACUGUGCAUUUUAUAGAUGAGAAAAGGCAAGUUGGGGGAAAGAGACUGGAGAGGGUGGUGGUAAUUAUAGAAAUGAGACUUUCAUAACUCAAGUUUCCAUCCCAUGGCGUUUUCUUUAAAUAAGGGAUUCCCAAUCUUCAGAAGCACUAGUGCAGUAUAACUUUGGAUAAACACAGUUCUGUCUUAUCAGCACAUUGUUUUGUAUUCAAUAGGUACUCAAUGUUUAAUAUGUUAUAAAAUAUAAUUUUUGAAUACAUUUUUUUUCUGUGAUGGUCGGAGCACACAGCACAGAGCAAUUUUAGGAAAUUGCCAUGCUUUCCAAUAGUAGCUAUAAGCUUUGUGUAUCCAGUCACCCAGGACCUAUUUGUUAGAUAGGAUAAAAGAACAUUGAAGUGACAAGAUUUGACAGAAAAUCUAGGCAAUACCAUUCAGGACAUAGGCAUGGGCAAAGACUUCAUGACUAAAACACCAAAAGCAAUUGCAACAAAAGCAAAAAUUGACAAAUGGGAUCUAAUUAAACUAAAGAGCUUCUGCUCAGCAAAAGAAACUAUCAGAGUAAACAGGGAACCUACAAAAUAGGAGAAAAUAUUUGCAAUCUGACCAAGGUCUAGUACCCAGAAUCUACAAGGAACUUAAACAAAUUUACAGGAAAAAAACAAGCAAGCCCAUCAAAAAGUGGGCGAAGGAUAUGAACAGAUACUUUUCAAAGGAAGAAAUUUAUGCAGCCAACAAAUAUAUAAAGAAAAACUCAUCAUCACUGGUCAUUAGAGAAAUGCAAAUCAAAACAACAAUGAGAUAUCAUCUCGUGCCAGAUAGAAUGGCGAUCAUUAAAAAGUCUGGAAACAAUAGAUGCUGGUGAGGCUGUGGAGAAAUAGGAACACUUUUACACUGUUGGUGGGAGUGUAAAUUAGUUCACCCAUUGUGGAAGACAGCGUGGCAAUUCCUCAAGGAUCUAGGACCAGAAAUACCAUUUGACCCAGCAAUCUCAUUACUGGGUAUAUACCCAAAGGAUUAAAAAUCAUUCUACUAUAAAGACACAUGCACACGUAAUGUUUAUUGCAGCACUAUUUACAAUAGCAAAGACUUGGAACCAACCCAAAUGCCCAUCAAUGAUAGACUGGAUAAAGAAAAUGUGGCACAUACAUACCAUGGAAUACUAUGCAGCCGUAAGAAAGAAUGAGUUCAUGUCCUUUGCAGGGACAUGGAUGAAGCUGGAAACCGUCAUCCUCAGCAAACUAACACAGGAACGGAAAACCAAACACCACGUGUUCUCACUCAUAAGUGAGAGUUGAACAAUGAGAACACAUGGACACAGGGAGGGGAACAUCACACACCGGGGUCUGUUGGGGAGCGGUGGACAAGGGGAGAGAGAGCAUUAGGACAAAUACCUAAUGCAUGCUGGGCUUAAAACCUGGAUUAUGGGUUGAUAGGUGCAGCAAACCACCACGGCACAUGUAUACCUAGGUGACAAAGCUGCACGUUCAGCACAUGUAUCCCAGAACUUAAAGUAAAAUUAAAAAAAAAAAAAAAAGAACAUUGAAGUGACAAGAUUUGGGAGGACUGAAACAAAACAGACUACAAGGAACAGGAGAAAAGGGACAAUUGUAAGAGUGGUAAUAUUCUUUUAUAUUUAUGCACGUAAGAUGGCUGUACUGGUUUCAAGCAUCUGACUUUUAAUAUUUGAAGAAAUAAAAUUCUUGCUUAGGUCCUUCCACCCGCUGUUCAAGAUUGAAGAUUGACCUUCUGUUACCAUCUUAGCUGAUCUGUCUGCUGCUGCCUUUUUGCUUGUCCUACUCAGUUUUAAGUAAUUUUCAUCCUUCAUGCUCUGGGCUGCAAAAAUAAAUAUAAGCAACAUUUGCUGUCUU
rnacentral:lncRNA from 1 species